GUGAGAAAAACACGGAGUACCCCACAAAUGUCGCCUUGUGCAGGAGCCAUGCCGGUCUUCUUUGUUUUGUUCCAAUUUCACUGUUUGUGCUGCAGAAGCAGAUAUGGAAAUGGGAAUUUUUGUAUGAUGUUUAGGCAUCUGAGAAGGCAACCACGGUACGAAUCUUGGGAUUUCCUGAAGUCUUUCUUCAAAUCUCUCUUCAGGUCUGCAAGCGGUCUGUGGUUGGACAUACAGCCUCUUCAUUUUCUUCUGCAUACAAAUGUGUGGACAAAGCAGAGACAAUCAAGGUCCAGCCAGCUCUCAGCCCUCCCUCAGUCAGCACCCAGCCAGACUUGAAACCCAGCUUGCCUUGGGAUUGAGUGUAGUCGUGCUUUUAACAGAGCUCUGCCGAAAGGAGUGUGUCGAGAAUAGAAAGGCAGUGUUUGGGGCUGGCCUGGCUCGUAUACUCCUCUCUGUUGUCUGACUGGGAGGCUGACGAGUCGUCUGCUGAAGAUGGAGGGACCUGGAUAUGGAAAUAACAGGAGCAGACAUUGGUGCCUUACACACCGCGGUGAAGGCGAAUGGUAGCCAUUGCUGCUUUCGGCACACCUUGUUUUUUCGCCAGUUCUGAAAGUGACACAGAGGAUGACAAAAGCUCGGAUUGCAGAAGAUGGAUGAAAGCCAUUUUAACUAGCACAACAGUUUGCGGCUACGAGAACGGCUCCGUGAGUGUAGAAGCCGCUCCUCACCAACCAUGCGGUCACGAUGCAUCUAACGAGACUGGGCACUAAUGGCCCUGGGAACAAUGAGGCAAAUUACCAAGUUCCACUAAAAUGUUUCUCCACUUAUCUUCAAUUAUUCAGACCCAAUCUAAUUUCCUUCAAAAUUAAAUGCGGUGGCUCCAGUUAACUUGUGCGACUGAACGUUUAACAACUGUCCCUGCACGUGACUUUGCUGAGAAAGGACGGGCAGGCUACUCCACAUCGGCUCUGAAACACAGCAGUUCCCUGGACAUGUUAAGACAGCGGGUCACAGAAGGCGCAUAGCUGGGCAUUGUCCCCGAAUGCUAAGACUUAAGGAGUCUCUAAACUACCCUCUUCCCAACUGUGCUGCCCUCCAGCCAUCUAACCGCUUCUUCAGCAGCUACCCCAAGCUCCUGGCCACUUUUGUCUAAACCACUAGGUACCUGGACACAGACAAAGCAAAGACCUGAGGUGAAAGUCUGGGAGGACAGAGCACUUAGGAGUAACAUGCACAUUCGGUUUUCACAGGCAGCUGUCACAGAGCUGUCACCCACAGCUGGAUGUCGGGGAGGGGGGCGCACUUCUGGGAUCUACAUCCAGGAGCCAGGCACAGCUAGUUGUCAGGGAAGAACGGUGAAUAGCUUGGUGCUCCUCCCAGCUGGGCUUCUGUGGACGUUAGGGGCCACUGACCUGAGUGCCUCCUAGUUCUCCUCUCCUUCUUUAUCUCCUGUUGCUUUUUCUGUAACCUGCUCUUUCCUGGUCUCUUUGUUGCCCUCUGGGGUCCCAGCUGCAUUAUCAUCUGUCUUUGGAAAAAUUGCAUUUAGUAGAACCAGAACUGUCCCAUUUAAUAGUGUUCCCGUGGGAACAACCCGCCUUAAUGAAGUUAUGAGUGUUUUGGGUGGUGUGACUUUUUCUUCAGAGGGCAUGAGUUGAUCUCAUCAGAAGGGACGAUCUACUUGUUUUAGUCUUCAAAGGCCUGUGCAGCCCUCACACGCAGCCAUUUCUCUGCUUUCUAUGGAAGAGGCCCACACUAAAUGAAUAAUUGCAAGUCAUUUGGCAUUAGAUUAACAUUAUGAUUUAUUUUAUCAAUUGCUAUUAGUUUGUACUUGCAGUAUUUCCCUAGAGUACACAACAAACUCUUCUAAGUCCAACUAGAGACACCUAGGGCUGGAGAUGAAGCCAAAGGGAAAUGAAGACCGUUCCCAAAGUAAAAAAUUCAACAUGCAGUCAGUCAGUACGCACUGCUGUCUUCCUGUAGCCAGCCAAAGAGAGUUUCGAGGGUUUUGGUGUGGAGGUGCCAGCUUGUAACCCCGACUCAGGAUCCAGGGCACAAGAUUGCCUUUAGUUCAGACCCAGGCGUGUCACCCUAAGAAGCCCAGCAAGGGCUGCACAGCAAGACCUCAUCUGAGAAAACAGACAAACAAACAAAGAAAACCAGAGGAAACAGCAUAAAGAAUUGGGGAGGACCAGCAGCCCUGGCUUCCCGCUGGACGUACUGUGCCUUUUGGUGGCCAAAUGCCCUUUGUCCAGUGUGGAACUUUGUCAACCAUGGCCACUGCUGUGAUGGCUCACAGUGUGCCAAGAACAAUACUUAAGACCUCUACAGGGUUUAUCUCAUUUAACCCCCAUGGGACCUGCUGUGUCUGUUUUCAAGAGGAGGUUCAGAGAGGUUGAUUAUCCCACCCAAAGUCACAUGACCUCUCGUGACCUCAGCUUUGAAGAUCUGCUGCCUGUCUUCUUCUUCCUCUUCCUUCUUCUUCUGCCCUUCUGGUUUUCUGAGACAAGGUCUUACCUGUAGCCCAGGCUGUCCUGGAACUCACUAUGUAGACCAGGUUGGUCUCAAACUCUCCUGGGUGCUGGAAUCAAAGGCGUGCCACCAUGCCCAGCUGCUUGCGGCUUGUGUUCCUAAAUCACCCUCCCUCCCCCACACCAUUGCCUCUGGUGAAGACCGACUGUCAGGCCACGAUUUCUUUGUAGAAAAAUAAACUGGGAACUUCUGGGCAUUUAAAAAGUGGAUCUGAGUGCCACGUUGGAUGUGAAGAAAGCCAGAGUUGUUAUGGUUGUGUUCCCCGGCCUGAGAAAUGAACUGGCUCCUUUCACCAGGACGGUCUGAGGAACAAUGAAGCUACAAACGAAAACACACAACAAUGGGGUCCAUGGCAUUUUCAGAGAACUGGUGUGGUUCUUGUUGGAGAAAUUCUCUCUCAAAACAAGAGUCCAAUGGCUGAGACUCUUGGUGAUAAAUAGCUUGCUGUGACAGAGGAACCAUCCUGCUCCCCCACCCCAGUGUCGGAAAAUUAUUUACCAUCCCAUCAGCUGAAGUACCGAAGACAUGUUCUGUUUGAAUUAACUGGGGGAAGAGGGACUCGUGUCAGUCAGCGGGCUGCGAUGAUGGCAGCCGCAGUCUCACGAGGCAGACAAGAAAGAGACAGCAUUAUCCCUGGCGUCCUUGCCCAACUGAUUGGUGCUUUUAGGGUAAUUAAUCCUCGUUUCAAGUAUAAUUGGACUCUUAUUGAUCGAAGCAGCAACGUACGAUGUGGCCCAUGGAACACAGAAAGACAGACUUCCUUCCCAGCAGAACACGGUUAAUUUGAACUCCAGAUCUUUCGCAUUUCAUUCACACACUUGAGCAAGCCCCCUGCUUUGCAACUGAUUUAGGCUGUAAUGUUUUGUGAGCUUAGAUGAGAAUUUAUUGUUAUUUUUUCUUCAGGAACAUAGAUUAUCAGGGAAUUUUCACUGACUUCCGCUUUGCUUAUCAGUUCAGGCACCAGCUUUCCAAAGCUGAGUGAGUCACGCUGCAAUGUUCUAAUGAAUUUCAGAUAGUGUGAAUUAAACAUUGACAAACAUCUGAGAAAACAAAACUACGUGUGAAUUACAAGGGUAGAUACAUUAAAAUUGUGGUUUAACACAGCUACCUUCAUUAAAGAAAAACAAAACAAAAAACCCUAACAGCUCAGGCUGAGCAGCUAGGGAUGCUGUGUGAGCAGGAGCCAAAGGACCAGCGAAGGGGGUUUGUGGGAAGUAGCUCCUGAGGUUCAUUCAGAGUCUGUGCUGGGACCUUUUGUGUGAGAAACUGUGCCUUCAUGUCAGGGAAAGGUGCCUGGGCCAUAGCUUCAGAUGAGAUACACAGUGUUUUUCUCUUCAAAGGCUAGAGAUUACCACUGCAGCAAGAAUGCAAAUUUCUAAACAGAUGAUCAUGACAGAUGAGAACAAAAAGUUGAAAUAAAAAUUUUCAAGUUCUAAUUACUCUUAUCAGCUAAAUCCAAAUCAUCUCAGUAUGUGAGACACACACACACACACAUACACACACACCCGCACACAUGCACACGCACACGCACACGCACACACACAUGCACACGCACACACAAACACAUAGACACAUGAAUUUUUUAUCUGUUUAGUGGCUGUACAUAAAUUUACUGAUAUUUUAAGUAUCCUCUGCCACCCCACAGUCCCUCAGUCAGCACUCUGCUGACCACUUAUGCCAAAGCCUGGUGGGACUUCUGGUCCAACCCCCCCAAAAAGAUAUCACCAUGUAUCCCCCCUUUUUUGUCUAAAAUUUAGAAAAGGUUCUAACUAAUAUAAGAAAAACUAUAUACAAUAAGUAUAACUAUAUACAAUAUAUAUAGGCAAUAAGUACAUCAACAAUGUCUAGUCCAUCAGCAUUUGACAAAUUCAGAGAAAACACUCCAUUAUCUACUCUUUCUUGAUGAGUCCAAAGUCUUGUACCUAAUUUACUUUCUACUCUAAUUUGCACUAACAGGUUAUCUUCUAAUGUCUUUCAAACCCUUUACACUUAACACAUCUUUAGUGAGUUUCUUUACUGAGUCUGGUAAACAAGGAAAAGUAUAUCUCUAUUAUUGAGUCUUCUACUCCC
ensembl:lncRNA